rnacentral:rRNA from 1 species
CCUACGGGGGGCAGCAGUGGGGAAUAUUGGGCAAUGGGCGCAAGCCUGACCCAGCAAUGCCGCGUGAAGGAAGAAGGCUUUCGGGUUGUAAACUUCUUUGACAGGGGAAGAGCAGAAGACGGUACCCUGAAAACAAGCCACGGCUAACUACGUGCCAGCAGCCGCGGUAAUACGUAGGUGGCAAGCGUUGUCCGGAUUUACUGGGUGUAACGGGCGUGUAGCCGGGAAGGCAAGUCAGAUGUGAAAUCUGGAGGCUCAACCUCCAAAUUGCAUUUGAAACUGUUGUUCGUGAGAACUGGAGAGGCAGACGGAAUUCCUUGUGUAGCGGUGAAAUGCGUAGAGAUAAGGAGGAACACCAGUGGCGAAGGCGGUCUGCUGGACAGCAACUGACGGUGAGGCGCGAAAGCGUGGGGAGCAAACAGGAUUAGAUACCCGUGUAGUC